GGAUCAAUUUGCUGGUCGUGCUAUGGUACGUACUGGUUUUGUUGGUUCCUCCUUUCUGAGGAGCCGCGAUGUCAUUAAUUUGGUGUCGCGAGGAAUCAGGACUAUUACUUUGAAAAAAUUAGAGUGUUCAAAGCAGGCAUUUGCUCGAAUACAUUAGCAUGGAAUAAUAGAAUAGGACCC
rnacentral:rRNA from 1 species